rnacentral:misc_RNA from 1 species
UCUCCGUAGGUGAACCUGCGGAGGGAUCAUUACUGAGUGAGGGCUCCGGCCCGACCUCCAACCCCAUGUGAACUUACCAUUUGUUGCCUCGGCAGAGCCUACCCGGUAACUGUUCGGAGAAGCUACCCUGUAGCUACCCUGUAACGGCCUACCCUGUAACGCACUGCCGGUGGACUUUUAAACUCUUGUUAUUUUAUAGUAAUCUGAGCGUCUUAUUUUAAUAAGUCAAAACUUUCAACAACGGAUCUCUUGGUUCUGGCAUCGAUGAAGAACGCAGC